rnacentral:rRNA from 1 species
GAUGAACGCUGGCGGCGUGCCUAAUACAUGCAAGUCGAGCGAACGGACGAGAAGCUUGCUUCUCUGAUGUUAGCGGCGGACGGGUGAGUAACACGUGGAUAACCUACCUAUAAGACUGGGAUAACUUCGGGAAACCGGAGCUAAUACCGGCUGAUAUUUUGAACCGCAUGGUUCAAAAGUGAAAGACGGUCUUGCUGUCACCUAUAGAUGGAUCCGCGCUGCAUUAGCUAGUUGGUAAGGUAACGGCUUACCAAGGCAACGAUGAAUAGCCGACCUGAGAGGGUGAUCGGCCACACUGGAACUGAGACACGGUCCAGACUCCUACGGGAGGCAGCAGUAGGGAAUCUUCCGCAAUGGGCGAAAGCCUGACGGAGCAACGCCGCGUGAGUGAUGAAGGUCUUCGGAUCGUAAAGCUCUGUUAUUAGGGAAGAACAUAUGUGUAAGUAACUGUGCACAUCUUGACGGUACCUAAUCAGAAAGCCACGGCUAACUACGUG